rnacentral:rRNA from 1 species
ACUGCUCAGUAACACGUGGACAACCUGCCCUUAGGACGGGGAUAAACCCGGGAAACUGGGUAUAAUACCCGAUAGGUCUCGAUUGCUGGAAUGCAUCGAGAUUUAAAGCUCCGGCGCCUAAGGAUGGGUCUGCGGCCUAUCAGGUAGUAGUGGGUGUAGCGUACCUACUAGCCUACGACGGGUACGGGUUGUGAGAGCAAGAGCCCGGAGAUGGAUUCUGAGACACGAAUCCAGGCCCUACGGGGUGCAGCAGGCGCGAAAACUUUACAAUGCUGGCAACAGCGAUAAGGGAACCUCGAGUGCCAGGUUACAAAUCUGGCUGUCGAGAUGCCUAAAAAGCAUUUCAUAGCAAGGGCCGGGCAAGACCGGUGCCAGCCGCCGCGGUAACACCGGCGGCUCGAGUGGUAACCGUUAUUAUUGGGUCUAAAGGGUCUGUAGCCGGCCGGAUAAGUCUCUUGAGAAAUCUGGCAGCUUAACUGUCAGGCUUUCAGGAGAUACUGUCUGGCUCGAGGCCGGGAGAGGUGAGAGGUACUUCAGGGGUAGGGGUGAAAUCUUGUAAUCCUUGAAGGACCACCAGUGGCGAAGGCGUCUCACCAGAACGGACCUGACGGCAAGGGACGAAAGCUAGGGGCACGAACCGGAUUAGAUACCCGGGUAGUCCUAGCCGUAAACGAUACUCGCUAGGUGUCGGCCACGGUGCGACCGUUUGUCGGUGCCGUAGGGAAGCCGUGAAGCGAGCCACCUGGGAAGUACGGCCGCAAGGCUGAAACUUAAAGGAAUUGGCGGGGGAGCAC